rnacentral:tRNA from 1 species
UGCGAACGUAGUUCAGUGGUAGAACACCACCUUGCCAAGGUGGGGGUCGCGGGUUCGAAUCCUGUCUUCCCGA